rnacentral:rRNA from 1 species
UACGUAGGGUGCGAGCGUUGUCCGGAAUUACUGGGCGUAAAGAGCUCGUAGGUGGUUUGUCGCGUUGUCCGUGAAAACUCACAACUCAAUUGUGGGCGUGCGGGCGAUACGGGCAGACUGGAGUACUGCAGGGGAGACUGGAAUUCCUGGUGUAGCGGUGGAAUGCGCAGAUAUCAGGAGGAACACCGGUGGCUAAGGCGGGUCUCUGGGCAGUAACUGACGCUGAGGAGCGAAAGCGUGGGGAGCGAACA